rnacentral:rRNA from 1 species
CAGUGUGCCCUCUAGUGUUUAAAUGUACAAACUAAAUAUCUCUACCUCCCAGGAUCCAGGUCUCUAAGCAGAGCCAGACCUGGUCCGUACUUGGAUGGGAGACCACUGGGAAUACCAGGUGCCACAGUGG